rnacentral:rRNA from 1 species
UCCGUAGGUGAACCUGCGGAAGGAUCAUUACCGAGUUGAUUCGAGCUCCGGCUCGACUCUCCCACCCUUUGUGUACCUACCUCUGUUGCUUUGGCGGGCCCGCGGUCGGCCUCGUGCCGUCCAGCACCCGCCAGAGGACUACAAAACUCCAGUCAGUGAACGUCUCAGUCUGAAAAACAAGUUAAUAAACUAAAACUUUCAACAACGGAUCUCUUGGUUCUGGCAUCGAUGAAGAACGCAGCGAAAUGCGAUAAGUAAUGUGAAUUGCAGAAUUCAGUGAAUCAUCGAAUCUUUGAACGCACAUUGCGCCCCUUGGUAUUCCGGGGGGCAUGCCUGUUCGAGCGUCAUUUCAACCCUCAAGCUCUGCUUGGUAUUGGGCUCCGUCCUCAGGGACGCGCCUCAAAGACCUCGGCGGUGGCGUCUUGCCUCAAGCGUAGUAGAAAACACCUCGCUUUGGAGCGCACGGCGUCGCCCGCCGGACGAACCUUUGAAUUUUUCUCAAGGUUGACCUCGGAUCAGGUAGGGAUACCCGCUGAACUUAAGCAUAUCAAUAAGCGGAGGA